rfam:Xenorhabdus szentirmaii DSM 16338, WGS project CBXF01000000 data, contig: XENSZ_2115_Contig_1
AAACAAAAAAAGGCCGAGUCUAUUCCUCUACUCGGCCUAGGGAAAUUGGUUUCCAUCAAAGAACCACCUAUAGCGGUUACUCUUGAGACAUUGAGCAACUAACUAUUGUAAGCGUAGUUGACAUGCUUUGAUUUACCAAAUU